rnacentral:rRNA from 1 species
GAUGAACGCUGGCGGCGUGCCUAAUACAUGCAAGUCGAGCGAACGGACGAGAAGCUUGCUUCUCUGAUAUUAGCGGCGGACGGGUGAGUAACACGUGGAUAACCUACCUAUAAGACUGGGAUAACUUCGGGAAACCGGAGCUAAUACCGGAUAAUAUUUUGAACCGCAUGGUUCAAAAGUGAAAGACGGUCUUGCUGUCACUUAUAGAUGGAUCCGCGCUGCAUUAGCUAGUUGGUAAGGUAACGGCUUACCAAGGCAACGAUGCAUAGCCGACCUGAGAGGGUGAUCGGCCACACUGGAACUGAGACACGGUCCAGACUCCUACGGGAGGCAGCAGUAGGGAAUCUUCCGCAAUGGGCGAAAGCCUGACGGAGCAACGCCGCGUGAGUGAUGAAGGUCUUCGGAUCGUAAAACUCUGUUAUUAGGGAAGAACAUAUGUGUAAGUAACUGUGCACAUCUUGACGGUACCUAAUCAGAAAGCCACGGCUAACUACGUG